rnacentral:rRNA from 1 species
CGAAUCGUAAAGCUCUGUCCUAUGGGAAGAUAAUGACGGUACCAUAGGAGGAAGCCCCGGCUAACUACGUGCCAGCAGCCGCGGUAAUACGUAGGGGGCGAGCGUUGUCCGGAAUUACUGGGCGUAAAGGGUUCGCAGGCGGCAUGACAAGUCCGAUGUAAAAGGCGAAAGCUCAACUUUCGUAAGCAUCGGAAACUGUCAAGCUUGAGUGAAGGAGAGGCAAGUGGAAUUCCUAGUGUAGCGGUGGAAUGCGUAGAUAUUAGGAGGAAUACCGGUGGCGAAGGCGACUUGCUGGACUUCAACUGACGCUGAGGAACGAAAGCGUGGGUAGCAAACAGGAUUAGAUACCCUGGUAGUCCACGCCGUAAACGAUGAGUGCUAGGUGUCGGGGGUCAAACCUCGGUGCCGUCGUUAACACACUAAGCACUCCGCCUGGGGAGUACGUGCGCAAGCAUGAAACUCAAAGGAAUUGACGGGGACCCGCACAAGCAGCGGAGCAUGUGGUUUAAUUCGAAGCAACCACUUUAGAGAUAAAGUUUUUUCUUCGGAAACGCUAAUACAGGUGGUGCAUGGUUGUCGUCAGCUCGUGUCGUGAGAUGUUGGGUUAAGUCCCGCAACGAGCGCAACCCUUACUUCUAGUUGCCAGCACGUAAUGGUGGGAACUCUAGAGGGACUGCCGAUGAUAAAUCGGAGGAAGGUGGGGAUGACGUCAAAUCAUCAUGCCCUUUAUGUCCUGGGCUACACACGUGCUACAAUGGUCGGUACAGAGGGCAGCGAAAGAGCGAUCUCAAGCGAAUCUCAAAAAACCGAUCCCAGUUCGGAUUGCAGGCUGCAACUCGCCUGCAUGAAGUCGGAGUUGCUAGUAAUCGCAGAUCAGAAUGCUGCGGUGAAUGCGUUCCCGGGUCUUGUACACACCGCCCGUCACACCAUGGGAGUUGGCAAUACCCGAAGCCGGCGAGCUAACCGCAAGGAGGCAGCCGUCGAAGGUAGGGUUAAUGACUGGGGUGAAGUCGUAACAAGGUAGCCGUAUCGGAAGGUGCGGCUG